UGACUGCUUACUGGUGGGGAAAUCGACUUACAAUCUUUUCACAUAACAUGCAGUGAAUUUUUGGGAUACAUACAGAUGCAGGUGGCUAUUGGUUUAUUGGCUCUUUGCUUGGCUCAAUGCUUAGUCUUCAUUCCAUUGCAUUAAACAAAUCUUGCAGCAUUUGUGAUUACUCUGUGUACCUACUUUGUUUCUUUUUAUGGCUUAUAUGCAGUUUAAUGGGUACACUAUCUUCCUAUGCAUCUAUCAC
rnacentral:lncRNA from 1 species